AGAACGAACGCUGGCGGUAUGCUUAACACAUGCAAGUCGAACGAGAAGCUCAUUUUCGGAUGAGUGGAGAGUGGCGCACGGGUGAGUAACGCGUAGAUAAUCAACCCUGAAGACCGGGAUAACUUUUCGAAAGGGAAGCUAAUACCGGAUAAUACUUUGAAUCGAGUGGUUCGAAGUUGAAAGCUCCGGUGCUUUAGGACGAGUCUGCGUUCCAUUAGCUAGUAGGUGGGGUAAUGGCCCACCUAGGCGACGAUGGAUAGCGGGUCUGAGAGGAUGAUCCGCCACACUGGCACUGAGACACGGGCCAGACUCCUACGGGAGGCAGCAGUGGGGAAUCUUGCGCAAUGGACGAAAGUCUGACGCAGCAAUACCGCGUGAGUGAAGAAGGCCCUCGGGUCGUAAAGCUCUUUAUCUGAGGGAAGAUGAUGACGGUACCUCAGGAAUAAGCACCGGCUAACUACGUGCCAGCAGCCGCGGUAAUACGUAGGGUGCGAGCGUUGUUCGGAAUUACUGGGCGUAAAGGGUGUGUAGGCGGACAGGUCAGCUAGAGGUGAAAGCCCGGAGCUCAACUCCGGAACUGCUUUUAGAACUGCCUGUCUAGAGAGGGUCAGAGGUCAGCGGAAUUCCUGGUGUAGAGGUGAAAUUCGUAGAUAUCAGGAGGAACACCGGCGGCGAAAGCGGCUGGCUGGGGCCACUCUGACGCUGAGGCACGAAAGCGUGGGGAGCGAACGGGAUUAGAUACCCCGGUAGUCCACGCCGUAAACGAUGGAUACUAGAUGUUCGGAGGGAUCGACCCCUUUGAGUGUCACAGCUAACGCAUUAAGUAUCCCGCCUGGGAAGUACGGUCGCAAGACUA
rnacentral:rRNA from 1 species